GCCGGUGUGAUGGAACUGGCAGACGUACGGGACUCAAAAUCCCGCGGUGGCAACACCGUGCGGGUUCGACCCCCGCCACCGGCACCA
rnacentral:tRNA from 4 species